UUGAAGCUAUUUUAAAGAUGAAGAUUUACUUUUAGGUAGGUCCCCUUUUCUCUACGGAAUGAAUGGUCAGGAAAAUCGUGUACCCACCUCUCAAUCUCUUUUCAAUUCCUAGGAAAGUAACUUUAUCAAAUUUUAUACCAGUUGAAUUUCUUCCAGAAUGUCUUCUCUCAUUCUUGAUCUCUCCCAGGUAGUAACCAGUUGGCAUCACUUUGUGGACCUCCCUCAUUCCAGCAGUGCUAGGAUUAAAGAAAGGAUUGACUUGAAUAUAUUCAAAUUCUUUUAAAUCAUCCUUAAGAAGCUCUAAAGAGAGAUUCCAUGUCUGGGGUCUUAUGUGUGAUUCCUGUGGACUUGGAGGGGCUGUGUAUCAACCAGUCCUAUGAUUUAAUGGUUUCUGGCUAUUAAUACUCAGAGUAGAGGACCAGGAGCGGCUGUGUAUCAACCAGUCCUAUGAUUUAAUGGUUUCUGGCUAUUAAUACUCAGAGUAGAGGACCAGGCCAGCCCCUUUGCCUGGUGUUCUGGGCAUAGUAAUAGGUUACUAAUCACAGGUUCUGGGUAAAUAAAAGCUUUGUUACAAAAUAAAAUAGCUUGGUCUUAAUAUUACAUCCAUUUAAGGAAAGGAACAGAUUUUGCAUCCAGUUCCCCCCAGAGAAACUUCCCCACAAUUCAAUCAUAGCUGAAAAGGAAACUAUCCUUGGAAUAAGCACUGUCCUGUCCUCUUUCUAAGGGGACUCCAAACAGGAAAUUGGUUUCACCUGUCAGGAACUUCUGGCACCUUGGUAGAUCUUUAAACUAUCACAUCACAGAAUUAUAGAUUUUAGAACUGGAAGGAACCCUGCAGAUCAAUCACUCAGCUCCUCAAGGCUUCUUUCUUUCAAGAGGACAGGAUAGCCAUCACUGAGGCGUGUGGGACCGCAGGACACAACUGAAAACGGGUCUUCGUGGUUUGAUGGUCCUGUGUCAGAAAAUCAGGGUGAUCUGACUACCUGGGUUUGGAGAUGAGCAUUUUGUUUUCUGGCAGAAUUGAGGAAAGCAAGAUUGCUUUGGGCUCUGUGUAAAUUGUAAACUGGUUCUCAGAACAAACUCCAAGUCACAUCUAUUUAUGAGAAAAGUAUCAGACAAAUUUCAACGGAAGGGCAUCCUACAAAAGACUUCACCAGUAUUCCACAGAACUAUCAAGGAAAGUCUGAGAAAUUGCAGCAACCAAGAGUAGCCUCAGAAGAUAUGACAACUUAGUGUAAUGUAGUAUCCUGGAUGGGAUCAUGGAACAGAAAAUGAUAAGCCUCUCUGCCAGGUGGUUACAGAUCUUUGAACCAACACUGCUGUUCACUAUGGAGGCUGACAUUUAAAUUCUUGUUGGUGGAAUGAGGGACUACAUCACAGGAUUCCCAUGAGAAUCAAGUACCAUGAAGGGGAAAGUACUUUGGAAAUUAUAAUGCACAGUUCAAAGUGGUCGUUGAAUGUUGAGCGAAUAGACAAACUAAUGAGUGAAUCAUCACAGAGAAGCAAAGCCAUCAGAAACUUGGAACCUUUUCUGCUGGUUCCCUACUUAUUGAAAAGAUGAUGCAGUCAUCCCAAAUGAACAUACCUGGGCAAUUUGCUAUCGAGGGGGUCCAUGCCUUACAGUGGGGACUGAGCUGCUGAAGGCACUUUCCUGUGCAGCUCCAUUCUACUCAGUUUAGCACCUGUGGCCCCUGCAAUUAUUUAGUAACCGGACCAUCUCUCCUCCCGAAUGUGAGUGCCUGAAAGUCAGGAGCUACUUCUACUUUCCUUGAUUCAAAACCCUUAUGUUUGGGCUUCUCUGAUGACCACGUCAAACGUUUAAAUCCCCUGCGAACAUGUAUUAUAACCUAUACAACCAAAAGGAAGACAGAGAAGGAAGAGGGGAGAGAAGAAAGAAAGAGACCAAGCUGCCAUGCCUGCCAGCAUCGGACUGCACUCCUUCAUCCAGCCAGCAAAUCAACGCAAACCCAAGGUGAGGCAUGGGAGUCAGAAAAACGAGGUGUGGGAAGAGCCACAGGGCCGAGUAGAGAGCCCAAGACGAGAGUUAGGGCAGGAAACCUCUCUAGUGGCUCCUUUACCAUGUCAUUCUUUAACUCAUGAGUCACUCUCCACACCCCACCAUGCACACCAGGACUCAACCGCCUUACCACAUCUGGCCAGAUGCUGCAAACGCUGCCUCCAGAGGCUAUGACAGCUCGACACGGUCUUCUCCCCGUUGUAUUUUAGAUCUUUCUGUGCACCGUUUUUCAAGUGGUCAAUUCUCCGCUGGAGGGAAAGACAAGCCUGGUACAAGACCAAGCCGGUGAUCAUUAGCCAGCUCUGUGCCUUGAGCAAUGCAUGUGUAGUUAUACUAAUCAGUUGAUUGAUGCAGGUUCAGUUGGGAAAUACUACAUUUUAAGGAAGUGCAACCUUUAACUUCUGAGUUGGAGCAGGCAGCAUGCCAACGGAAGGAGGACUGGAUUAAACUAGAGAACAAUUCUUUGAGCCAUGGGCAUUGAGCUGGGCACAAACCAAGCCGGGUCCCGGGAUUCUCGGAGGAUCCAGGAAGAAGUGGGCAAGCAGGUAAGGGUCGGGCACCACAGCAAAUACCAGCUAAGUGAUCUUGCCCCUUCCUGUGUGCCAAGUCCAGGUUUGGGCAUGUCAGUUACCUCUACUGAACUUUUUUGCACACUGCUGCCGUUCAUAUUUAAUCGAAAUUUAUAACCCAUGGCUCAGAAACCUGAAAUAUUGGUGUCUUUAGUCUUGAAAGACUCAAUUAGCCCAUGUGCAGAGUUGGCCUCUCUCUCUUCCUCAGCAGGGUUGAAAAACUCGUUUCUUUUUUUUUUAAUGUAAAGAUAAAACCCAUCACCCACAUUCCAGAAUUAGCCUGAUAAGAUUAGGUAGGAUCAGAAAAUUGUAAAAUUGUUGGGUUCAGAAGGUCUUUAGAGAUCACACCAUAUCUGAAUCUCCAACAUAACACCCCUAACAAAGUGUCUAUCAUAUUCCUUCUUAGAUAUCUCCAGGCUGGGAAUUUUCUAUCUCCCAAGGUGGCCCAUUCCAUGGUUGGUCAGAUUUAGAAGUUGGGUGUUUUAAACUUAUUUAUUGGUUCAAUUAUAAGGAGGAAUUUAUCACAGCAAGACAGCACUCACCAAAGACAUUUGGGGCUGUGUGUAGGUUGGUGACCUCAGUGGAUGCAAACAGGAUCCAUGACCACAGACUAGACCCCAAAUCCCAACUCAUAUACGUCCUUGGUCAGCAGAGUGAACAGAAAAAUAUUGGAUGUUGCACACAGGGCCAGGACUAGAGAUAUAUUUACAAAUGAUAGACUUAGGUGUUUAUGGUAAAGUUUGUGUGAAAAUCCUUCAUUGGUCACAGAGAAAGGAACUUGAACUGAUCUCCUUUGACUUUCACUUUUAAGAGAACAUAUGAAAUUCAGGUCAGUAUCAUAGUUUUUCAGACACCAGAUGGACAUUUAAUCUUUCCCACCAGCUUAGUAAUUUCUAUAGGUUUUCUUCCUCUUGAACCAAUACCUAGGUCAGAAGAUCAUAGACUUGGGCGCCUAGUACAGUUUUAGGGCUAGAAGAUUCCCAGAAGAAAUCUUGUCUGAUUUCUUCAUCUUCAAACUAGGAAACUAAGGCCCAGAAGGGAGGAAGUGACUGACCCAAGGUCACAGAGCCCUUUUGGGAUGGAGUCAGGACUAAAUCACUGGUCUCCCUACUCCUAGUAGAGUACUCUGCUCUUCAUUAUCAAUGGUGAUAUGCUGAGUAUGUACAAAGAGUGAUGAUCUCUCUAGUGUGCUUUGGGACAGGUGCUACAGAAAGUUUUAUGGAAUAGAGGAACGAGUGUGCCUCUCCCGUCUCCCCAUGUGGCAACCUUGUGGAGGAAGGAUUGCUAAAAUGCCUCUUAAGAUAUCAAUACACGAGAACAACAACAAAAAAUACGCUGUGAACACUGUGUAACUGUAUCUGCAUGCAAAUAUAUCCAAUGGUCUUCAUCAUAAGACCUGCUAGUUAUCGUACAUCUACUAUGCUCCAAGCACUUUACAUAACUUAUUAGUUCUAAUCCUCCCAAAGACUCUGAGAGGUUAACGUUAUUGUUUUUCAUAUGAAUAAACUGAGGCUCAGAUGACACAUGGCCAGUGUGGCAGAGUCAAGAUUUGGGGCCGAGUCUUCCUGGCUCCAAAGCCUGUGUUGUUUUCACCAUAGCCACCACCUUCUCUAGAUGAUCUCAAACCCACUCCUGUGUCCCACCCACCAACAAGCCCCAAAUAUUUUCUGUGGCUGGUCCUGGUGUGGAAUCAAGUUGAGAUUUUUUUUGUUUUUUAAUUCUUUGACGAUUCAACUUAGUUAUCUCCUCAGGCAGUUUGGGAAGUAUCUCCCCUUUCACUGGUGUGUUCUUUUAUUUAAGGCAUCUUGUAGAAAACAGGGCAAAGUAAGACCCUAGCAUCUGGUGAUAAGUUGCAAUGUUUGAUAUGUAAACAUAAAUAAGUAGAAAUAAUAACAUUC